rnacentral:rRNA from 1 species
AUUGAACGCUGGCGGCAUGCUUUACACAUGCAAGUCGAACGGCAGCGCGGGCUUCGGCCUGGCGGCGAGUGGCGAACGGGUGAGUAAUGCAUCGGAACGUGCCCAGUAGUGGGGGAUAGCCCGGCGAAAGCCGGAUUAAUACCGCAUACGACCUGAGGGUGAAAGCGGGGGACCGAAAGGCCUCGCGCUAUUGGAGCGGCCGAUGUCGGAUUAGCUAGUUGGUGGGGUAAAGGCUUACAAAGGCGACGAUCCGUAGCUGGUCUGAGAGGACGACCAGCCACACUGGGACUGAGACACGGCCCAGACUCCUACGGGAGGCAGCAGUGGGGAAUUUUGGACAAUGGGGGCAACCCUGAUCCAGCCAUGCCGCGUGCGGGAAGAAGGCCUUCGGGUUGUAAACCGCUUUUGUUCGGGAAGAAAUCCUCUGGGCUAAUACCCCGGGGGGAUGACGGUACCGGAAGAAUAAGCACCGGCUAACUACGUG